GUGCUUGCUUGGGCAGCACAUAUACUAACAUUGGAAUGACACAGGGAAGAUUAGCUGGCGCCUGCAUAACGACAGCAUGCACAUUCGUGAAGCGUUCCGUAUUUUU